UACGUAGGUGGCAAGCGUUGUCCGGAUUUACUGGGCGUAAAGAGCGCGCAGGCGGUCGUUCAAGUCGCGUGUGAAAGCCCCCGGCUCAACUGGGGAGGGUCACGCGAUACUGCUCGACUCGAAGGCAGGAGAGGGUAGUGGAAUUCCCGGUGUAGUGGUGAAAUGCGUAGAUAUCGGGAGGAAUACCGGUGGCGAAGGCGACUAUCUGGGCUGCAACUGACGCUGAGGCGCGAAGGCUAGGGUAGCAAACAGG
rnacentral:rRNA from 1 species